GUCGGAGUGGCGGAAUGGCAGACGCGCUGGCCCUAGGAGCCAGUGGGGCAACCCGUGAGAGUUCGACUCUCUCCUCCGACA
rnacentral:tRNA from 1 species